rnacentral:lncRNA from 10 species
GGUAUCUGCUGCUCAGGCCUCAGGAAUGGACACAUAGGCUUCAGGCCCAUGAGGACCUCCUGGACUAAGAGCCAGUCUCACUGCCACCUGUCAGAGCCUUCUUCAAGGGAGUAAACAGAGGGGCAGGACUCACCUCACUUCGUGCUGCCAGGGCUAGAGCUAUCCUUUCUCCCCACUCCAUUCCCACCUUGCUGGGUGAGCCUGCAGUUUUUCCAAGGCAGGGCCAGCCUGUCCUGUGCUGCAAGAUGUAUUAAUCAAUUUGAUGGGGAUGUUAAAGCUUUCUCUUUGCAACUAAUUAUGGCCUGAUUUAUAGGCCUGGCCUUGGUUUGAUAGAGCUCUCCUCAUGACAGGGAUGAAUGUGGUACUGGCAUGGACCCCUUCAUCUCUUCCAUUUCUCUCUCUUCCUCCCUCCUCCCUCCCUCCCACGGCUCCUGCCUCCUGCCUCUGCUCUUGGUUCCCACAGGAACACCCUAAUGACAUGUUGACAAGCUAGUGAAGCAUGGCUCCCUCUCUGUUGCAUCUGCCUCUGGCACCACCAUUCCUCCUGUAUUCUCUGACAUGGGCAGAUGGGUGCUGUGCUGGAGGAAGCUCUGUACACCCUUUCCUUCUGGAAACAAGAAACAAUAAAAAUAUUUUGGGUUGAUGCAGCAUCUUCCUUCCCAAACAUUCCAAGAGCUUGUUGAAAUAAACUUUAUCCCUGAUGGAACUUCCAGGGACAGAGAGGCCGCCAGCAUCCCUGCAGAGCCCCCAGAAAAAGAGGAAGCUGCAUGGUGGGUUCACACCUGGGCCAGUACAAAAAGGUCAUGCUUGGAGAGAUACACCAAGAUCUCCACCUGAGGGCUGAGUCCUGGCCCAGGGCUUGCUUCACUAGUUGGCAGCCUGGGAACACUUGCUGUGAGCUCCAAAGCAUGUUGAAGAGCGGGGCUGUCCAUGUUGAAUCCUGUUAGUCAUGCAGCUGAGGGAAUUCCAAUCACCUGACCCGGGUCUGACCGCAGUUACCAGUCUCAAGUCUGAGCAGCGUCUCCAGUGCUGGGCUGCCUUCUUGACUCCAGGAGGCAUGCCUGCUCUUACAAUGAAACUCAAGUCUUUUUUUUUCCUUCCCACAAGUUUGGCUUCUACUUUUCUAAGUGCUGUUCAUCAUAUACUCUGUGUUGUAAGUACUCAGCUCUCUAGCAUCUCUUUAUACUACCUUUUAUUCUUCUGGAAUAUCCUUCCUUCCCACCCACAAGCAUAUUAGGCAAAACUUGCCCACCGUGGUAACUGGAAACAGGACUGAGGGGAAGGAAAACUCUCUCCCAGGUGCAUGGAGUGGGAACUCAUUUAGGGCAUCUUUAGUGCCAUACAUAGAACCUGGAAUACAAUAGGAGCUCAAUUAAUACAUGUUAAAUGGAUAAAUAUUGGUUAAAUGCAUCAUGUUUCUAUACAAUUCUCUUUAAACUAUAAACUCCCCAAGCACAAAGUUAAGAACUAUGUCUCUCUUAUCAGACAAGAUGCCUCCUAACCCAGAUUAUACAGGAGCAUUGUGAGGGCAAGCCCAUGCCAACUCCACAUUCUGUGAGCUCCCAAAACUCCACCAAGGACCUUGCUUAAUGAUGACUUAGACCAGGGUUUCUCGACCUCAGCAUUAUUG